UACAGAGGGUGCAAGCGUUGUUCGGAAUUAUUGGGCGUAAAGGGCGCGUAGGCGGUGCUGUAAGUCUGUAGUGAAAUCUCUGGGCUCAACUCAGAGUCUGCUAUAGAAACUGCAGUGCUGGAGUGUGGGAGAGGUGAGUGGAAUUCCCGGUGUAGCGGUGAAAUGCGUAGAUAUCGGGAGGGACACCUGUGGCGAAAGCGGCUCACUGGGCCACAACUGACGCUGAGGCGCGAAAGCUAGGGGAGCAAACAGG
rnacentral:rRNA from 1 species